GACCUACCCAAUCUGUCGGGUUACCCCAGAUUGAUCCUGGGUUGAUUGAUUGACUAGACUAACCAAGUGAUUGGGUUGUCGAUAUGACCGGCCAAGUUGGUCCAAACACAAAUAGGAGUAACUCUCCCAACAUGAUUUUUUAUCUACAAGGUUCAAACCUACAACCUUAUUACAAGGUGUUGAGCCCCUUCAACUCAAUCCAAUCACUACUAGCAUGAAAUACUCAAGGUUCAAUCAGUACUAAAAGGAAUGGAACAUGCUUAGAAUGGACCUAACGAUUUAAAAUUAUAUAUUAAGAGAGCUGAUGUUCAACUAUAGGCUAGAAAAAUUAGAAAAGACCAAGCACUCAAACCUUAUCUUUCACCAUGCUAUUAUGAGCAUCUGUAUUGAGCAUUAUCACAGAGUAAGCCAAGACAUAUGAAGUAUCUGCACUACUAAAAGAACUUAGAUUGCAUUUACAAUAACGCUUAGCAAACUUGUCCAUGAAGCAAUCAAUAUUCUUCUGUGCCUCACCAAGCAGCCUGAAGCCCCAAAGAAAAAACCUUAUGGCUUCACCAAAAUCCAUGCCUUUGAAAUUAAAGCAGUCAACAUAAGCAUGCACAACUUUGAGAGACAAUUCGUCUCUUUCCCCCAUAUAGUCACCAAUCUUGGUUUGAUCAAGGAAAGCAGUGUUCUUGAG